rnacentral:rRNA from 1 species
CCCUUCGAUGUUCUGGGCUGCACGCGCGCUACAAUGGCAGCGACAGAGAGGAGCUCGGCCGAAAGGCCUGGCUAAACUGGAAUCGCUGUCGUGAUUGGGAUUGAGCUUUGUAAAUAGCUCAUGAAAGAGGAAUUCCUCGUAAGCGCGAGUCACCAACUCGUGUUGAAUACGUCUCUGCCCUUUGUACACACCGCCCGUCGCUACUACUGAUUGAAUUGGUUUUUGAAGAAUAAGGAUUGGCCGACUGAGCGGGUGCUUGCAUCAGCAUAAGUAUGGUCGAGAAUCAUUCUGAAAAAACCGUUCGAGAGGAAGUAAAAGUCGUANCA